ensembl:lncRNA
AAUAUCUUAAAAGGUUAUUUUGUGACCCAGAAAGGGUAGUCUGGGGAAAAGGAGGAUCGCAUUUGUCGGCCUUGUAAGUGCGGCAAUGGCGGAGGAGCACAGCUAAAAAACUUAUUACUUUUUCUGGAUCACAGAAUAAACUUUUAAGAUGUUUUCAGGCGAGAAUGUAGUUGUGUAAAGUUCAAAUAUCUGCUCGAUUUAUCAAGACAUCACAUAUUUGCAAAAAUGCUCCGACGUUUUCAGAGACGUCCAUUUUUUUUUUCAUGCUUUGUGGCAGCUUUUGAACAUCUGUGGCAUCUAUUAAUGUCAAAUCUAGCCUUUAUUUAACAACAUAAGCAAACUCUAUGUUACAAUGAUUGCACAGCCAUUAAGGAUCAAAUCAGUUUCUGAAAAAUGUUCUGUUUUUUCUCCCUCUGCUUGCUUCUUACUGUCUUUGAGGCUUGGGACCAGCACUCCUGCUGUUGGACAGAAAGACAUCAACUCAGUGGACAACAGGAGAGAUGAGUCCUCCGUCACAGAUGGUGUGGUCAGUGAAGAUGGUUGCCUGCAGGUUCAAGCUCAUUGCAUCUCCAACCCACAUCCACUGCCACUGUACUUAAGGGAAGUUAAAGACUUUCUUCUGCACCUACAUUGGAUCACCUCGAUCCAUGAUAGUCAUUCAGGCAGUAAUGCCUGGACUGGAAACAAGCAUCCUUAAAAUAAUACAACAUUCCAGCUCCUGUGUUGGAAGGAAAAACAAAUGUGUUGUUUAAAUUAGAGACUGCACUUGUGACAGAACAACAAAUAUUUUAUUUUGAUUAUAUAAGUAAUGUAAGUACAAAACAAACUUGUGGUAGGCCUAAACUUAUUUUCAGAAUAAUUAAAUCUGAGACUUUGUUUCAUUGUAAGAUUAUAACAGUGAUGGCAAUAUAAUUGUUUGUUGUUCAGCAGAACAGUGUCCGGUAUGUUGGCUGUUAUACCUUGUGGUGUUUGAAAAUAAAAGUUGGGCUCAUUUUAACAUCAUUACAAAAAUUGUUGUUAAUUAUUUUUAAUCAUAUUCAUGGUACCACAAAUUGUUUUUUCAUUUAGUUGAACUUGAAAUGUUUGUCAGUAGGUAAACAAUUAGUAUUGUACAAAAUACCAAGUUAUUCUUAAUACUGCAGACUUGCAAUGUAUAAGUUGUCCUAACAGUCAUCUUAAGUAAGCUUUACUUAGUUUUUUUGAGGCAACGAGUUUCC